rnacentral:rRNA from 1 species
GAUGAACGCUGGCGGCGUGCCUAAUACAUGCAAGUCGAGCGAACAGAUGAGGAGCUUGCUCCUCUGACGUUAGCGGCGGACGGGUGAGUAACACGUGGAUAACCUACCUAUAAGACUGGGAUAACUUCGGGAAACCGGAGCUAAUACCGGAUAAUAUAUUGAACCGCAUGGUUCAAUAGUGAAAGACGGUUUUGCUGUCACUUAUAGAUGGAUCCGCGCCGCAUUAGCUAGUUGGUAAGGUAACGGCUUACCAAGGCAACGAUGCGUAGCCGACCUGAGAGGGUGAUCGGCCACACUGGAACUGAGACACGGUCCAGACUCCUACGGGAGGCAGCAGUAGGGAAUCUUCCGCAAAGGGCGAAAGCCUGACGGAGCAACGCCGCGUGAGUGAUGAAGGUCUUCGGAUCGUAAAACGCUGUUAUUAGGGAAGAACAAAUGCGUAAGUAACUAUGCACGUCUUGACGGUACCUAAUCAGAAAGCCACGGCUAACUACGUG